UACGUAGGGCGCAAGCGUAUCCGGAUUAUUGGGCGUAAAGAGCUUGUAGGCGGUUUGUCGCGUCUGCCGUGAAAUUUCGGGGCUCAACCCCGAACUGCGGUGGGUACGGGCAGACUAGAGUGUGGUAGGGGAGACUGGAAUUCCUGGUGUAGCGGUGAAAUGCGCAGAUAUCAGGAGGAACACCGAUGGCGAAGGCAGGUCUCUGGGCCACUACUGACGCUGAGAAGCGAAAGCAUGGGGAGCGAACAGG
rnacentral:rRNA from 1 species